rnacentral:rRNA from 1 species
GAUGAACGCUGGCGGCGUGCCUAACACAUGCAAGUCGAACGGAGAUUACGGACGGAAGUUUUCGGAUGGAAGCCUGUAAUUCUUAGUGGCGGACGGGUGAGUAACGCGUGGGCAACCUGCCCUAUACAGGGGGAUAGUAGCUGGAAACGGCUGGUAAGACCGCAUAAGUCGGUUAAAUCGCAUGAUUUGAUCGGGAAAUGAGCAAUCAGGUAUAGGAUGGGCCCGCGUCCGAUUAGCCAGUUGGCAGGGUAAAAGCCUACCAAAGCGACGAUCGGUAGCCGGGCUGAGAGGUCGGACGGCCACAUUGGGACUGCGACACGGCCCAAACUCCUACGGGAGGCAGCAGUGGGGGAUAUUGCACAAUGGAGGAAACUCUGAUGAAGCGGCGCGGCGUGAGUGAAGAAGUAUUUCGGUAUGUAAAGCUCUAUCAGCAGGGAAGAUGAUGACGGUACCUGACUAAGAAGCCCCGGCUAACUACGUG